rnacentral:RNase_P_RNA from 1 species
UCAGUUGACCGGGUGACCGCUGGCGGGUGGGUAACUGCUCGUUGGAGGAAAGUCCGGGCUCCAUCGAAACACGGUGACGGCUAACAGCCGCCGGGGGCGACCCUAGGGAAAGUGCCACAGAAAGCAAACCGCCUCGGCAUGCCGAGGUAAGGAUGAAAGGGUGCGGUAAGAGCGCACCGGGCGUCUGGCGACAGAGGCCGCACGGCAAACCCCACCGGGAGCAAAACCAAAUAGGGAUGACGCGGGCUUUAUGCCCAGCCUGUUUCGAGGCCAGAUCAUCCGGGUUGGUUGCACGAGCGCGCCGGCGACGGCCGCCUCAGAUGAAUGGUCACCGCGUCGCUUUUAGCGGCCUUACAGAACCCGGCUUAUAGGUCAACUGGCAUA